UAAUACGGAGGGUGCAAGCGUUAUCCGGAUUCACUGGGUUUAAAGGGUGCGUAGGCGGGUAUGUAAGUCCGUGGUGAAAUCUCCGAGCUUAACUCGGAAACUGCCAUGGGUACUGCGUAUCUUGAAUGUUGUGGAGGUGAGCGGAAUAUGUCAUGUAGCGGUGAAAUGCUUAGAUAUGACAUAGAACACCAAUUGCGAAGGCAGCUCACUACACAAAUAUUGACGCUGAGGCACGAAAGCGUGGGGAUCAAACAGG
rnacentral:rRNA from 1 species